GAAAUGAGGGCCCUUAAUUAGGGAGCAUUUCCAGUUGAUAGAGUUUAGGGCAGUAAAGAGAAAUAUUAGGAAUAAGAGAUAUAAUAAUAGUACAUGAGAUAUUUUUGGAAGUUCUCGGCUAUCAAGCUGAAUAAUCUGAACUCUAUAUAAACUGAACAAUCAUUGAAAGAUUUUGAGCUUAAGAAUUGUGUGACAGAUGCAGCCAUAAAAAAGAAUGAGAUCAUGUCUUGUGGGAAUAUGGAUGGAGCUGCAGGCUAUUAUCCUUAGCAAACAACGCAGGAACAGAAAACCUGUGUUACAGAAUACGGCUUGUUCUCACAAUUGGGAGCUAAAUGAAGAGAACUUACCAACGCAAAGACAGAAAUGACAGACAUGGGUGUACCUGAAGGUGCAGGGUGGGAGGAGGGAGAGGAGCAAGAUGACUAUUGGGUAUUGGGCUUAAUUCCUGGGUGAUGAAAUAAUCUGUACAACAAACUCCCAUGACAUGAAUUUACCUAUGUAACAUAUCCUCACAUGUACCCCCGAACCUAAAAGUUUUUUUUUAUAUUGUGUAAUCAUUACACUAUAAUGGAAUAAUAUUUUAGGAAGGUUAAUCUGAUACCGGGAUGCACUAAAGAGGCAGAAGGUGGAGGGGACACUAUAGUGCAUUCCAACAGAAAUGAGCAUGAAUUUUGAUAGAGGCAGUAGAAAGAGAAGAGGGUGGAGCCCAGGUGAUGAGUAGAGAAUACAUAAUGAAUGAAAGAGAAAGAUGAGAGGGGAAGGGUUUGUUUUCAGAGAUACAGAAUUUAGACAAGUUGAAAAUGUGACCUCGGUUUCCUGAGAGCUUGAGUUUUCACUUUGUUUCAUUUCUCAAUUGGUUAAAACAGUGGUUCUCAAACCUGGCAUUUAUCACAAUCUCCUGGGAAUGAGGAUAUCAAAGAAUUCAGGUCUGGAGAUUUUGUUUGAAAUCUCAAAAUCUGUCUAUUUAAACAUUUCCCUUACAGCUCAUGGGCCACUACUUCAGAUAUAAUUUGGGUUACAGUAUUAAAGGAAAUGUGGUAAACACUAAAAUCAAAUAAACACACUUAAAAAUUAUUACACAGUUGAAGAAAAACUAUUAAAAUCUUAGGAUAUAUGUGAGAGUUGGAUAAGCAGGAGGAAAGGGGGAAGCAAUAUAGGGCUAAAUCUGUUUACAUGUAAAAGUCAGAAGUUAUUCUUUUGUCUUUGUUUUUAUAAUUAGAUGUGACAAAGAUAAAAGAAUGGAUAUUACAUUAUGAGUAUUUGUAGACUUCUCCCCUCUCCCUACUUCCUAACAAGGUUCCUGGCCUCCCUGCUGAACUCUGGGUACUAAGGUGCCAGUCUGAAAAAUGAAAGAAGAGGAAAACUGAAAGAAGCCUGGCUCAAUUAGCCUAUAUAAAAAUGAAAAUGGCUAACAACUGGGAACUUACUGUCAGGCUAAGAUAAUUGAGAACCUUACUGUAAG
rnacentral:lncRNA from 1 species